rnacentral:rRNA from 1 species
CGGCGGACGGGUGAGUAAUGCCUAGGAAUCUGCCUGGUAGUGGGGGACAACGUUUCGAAAGGAACGCUAAUACCGCAUACGUCCUACGGGAGAAAGCAGGGGACCUUCGGGCCUUGCGCUAUCAGAUGAGCCUAGGUCGGAUUAGCUAGUUGGUGAGGUAAUGGCUCACCAAGGCGACGAUCCGUAACUGGUCCGAGAGGAUGAUCAGUCACACUGGAACUGAGACACGGUCCAGACUCCUACGGGAGGCAGCAGGU